rnacentral:rRNA from 1 species
UAAUACGUAUGGGGCAAGCGUUAUCCGGAUUCAUUGGGCGUAAAGAGCGCGUAGGUGGAUUGUUAAGCGAGAUGUGAAAACUGGGGGCUCAACCCCCAGCCUGCAUCUCGAACUGGCAGUCUUGAGUUUGGUAGAGGAGUGUGGAAUUCCCAGUGUAGCGGUGGAAUGCGCAGAUAUUGGGAAGAACACCAGUGGCGAAGGCGGCACUCUGGGCCAACACUGACACUGAGGCGCGAAAGCUAGGGGAGCGAACAGG